rnacentral:rRNA from 1 species
GACAAUGGGGGCAACCCUGAUCCAGCCAUGCCGCGUGCAGGAAGACUGCCCUAUGGGUUGUAAACUGCUUUUAUACGGGAAGAAACACCACUACGUG